UAUAUUUUAGUGUAAGAUGCACAAUAUUUUUUGAUAUUAUUAGAUAUAGUUUAAUUCUAUAAAAUAUAA
rnacentral:tRNA from 1 species